rnacentral:rRNA from 1 species
UACGUAGGGUGCGAGCGUUGUCCGGAAUUAUUGGGCGUAAAGAGCUCGUAGGCGGUUUGUCGCGUCUAUCGUGAAAACCUGCGGCUUAACUGUGGGCUUGCGGUGGAUACGGGCAGACUUGAGUUCGGUAGGGGAGACUGGAAUUCCUGGUGUAGCGGUGAAAUGCGCAGAUAUCAGGAGGAACACCGGUGGCGAAGGCGGGUCUCUGGGCCGAUACUGACGCUGAGGAGCGAAAGCGUGGGGAGCGAACAGG